rnacentral:rRNA from 1 species
GUUGACGCUGGCGGCAGGCCUAAUACAUGCAAGUCGAACGCGUGGCGGAGGGGAGUGAAAUGUCUGGGAAACUGCCUUAAGGAGGGGGAAAACUACGGGAAACGGUAGCUAAUACCGCAUACCAUCCGAUGAGCCCUGAUGGGAUUAGCUAGUAGGUGGGGUAAAGGCUCACCAAGGCGACGAUCCCUAGCUGAACUGAGAGGAUGAUCAGCCACACUGGAACUGAGACACGGUCCAGACUCCUACGGGAGGCAGCAGUGGGGAAUAUUGCGCAAUGGGCGCAAGCCUGACGCAGCCACGCCGCGUGAAUGAAGAAGGCCUUCGGAUUGUAAAGCACUGUUAGUGGGGAAGCGGUACCUGCUCAGAAAGCCCCGGCUAACUCCGUGCCAGCAGCCGCGGUAAUAC